CAGGGGAGCACCGGAUCCUGGGCUGUGUCCUGGCGCCCUGUGCUCCCGGCCUGCACUGUCGUAUUCGCGCUCCUGGCUGCGCAGCCCCUU
rnacentral:pre_miRNA from 1 species